rnacentral:rRNA from 1 species
GACGAACGCUGGCGGCGUGCCUAAUACAUGCAAGUUGAGCGAUGAAGAUUGGUGCUUGCCCCAAUUUGAAGAGCAGCGAACGGGUGAGUAACGCGUGGGGAAUCCGCCUUUGAGCGGGGGACAACAUUUGGAAACGAAUGCUAAUACCGCAUAACAACUUUAAACAUAAGUUUUAAGUUUGAAAGAUGCAAUUGCAUCACUCAAAGAUGAUCCCGCGUUGUAUUAGCUAGUUGGUGAGGUAAAGGCUCACCAAGGCGAUGAUACAUAGCCGACCUGAGAGGGUGAUCGGCCACAUUGGGACUGAGACACGGCCCAAACUCCUACGGGAGGCAGCAGUAGGGAAUCUUCGGCAAUGGACGAAAGUCUGACCGAGCAACGCCGCGUGAGUGAAGAAGGGUUUCGGAUCGUAAAACUCUGUUGGUAGAGAAGAACGUUGGUGAGAGUGGAAAGCUCAUCAAGUGACGGUAACUACCCAGAAAGGGACGGCUAACUACGUG